rnacentral:rRNA from 1 species
GACAGAGGGUGCAAACGUUGUUCGGAAUUACUGGGCGUAAAGCGUGUGUAGGCGGCUUUGCAAGUCGGAUGUGAAAGCCCCGGGCUCAACCCGGGAAGUGCACUCGAUACUGCAGAGCUUGAGUGUCGGAGAGGUUGGUGGAAUUCUCGGUGUAGAGGUGAAAUUCGUAGAUAUCGAGAGGAACACCGGUGGCGAAGGCGGCGAUCUGGGUCGAUACUGACGCUGAGGUGCGAAAGCGUGGGGAGCAAACAGG